GGCAGAAAGGUGACUCCACCACCCCAGCCAGAGAGAGAGGGAAGCCAAGCUGGGAGUCCUUGAAAGUCCUUGGUGAAAAGGCCAGGAGGUUGAGGUCCAGGGAAGAACUGAGGCUGGCCAAUGUCACACCACAGCUCCCCCUUCAAGAAGCAAAAGAAGGCCUCUCUCUUCCACACAAUCUCCGCUCUCCCUGUUUCCCGCUCCAGGAGCCACCUCUUCUAGUGGAACACAGCAACAUUUCUGAAGGUUCCUGGCAAAAGCAGAACUGGUCCUCACGUGGCCGUUUCUUCCAAGAAGCCGGGAAGGGCACAGGGCACACCAGUUUGCAAGAUGGCUCAGCCAAAUCUUUGGCUCAGACUAGAGGCGCGUUUGAGAGUACGAAGAGGAAAUCCAAGCGUGGUAUGGGCUUCCCCACCGGCCACUCCCUAGUCAGAUAGCACCACCACCACACCCAAGCAUAGGAGCGCCCAGCUGUGAAGCUGUUCCCAUGACUGGCCACCACUGUGAGGCAGCACUGAGCCAGCGUCCUUACAAAUUCAUUUGUAAGCAACCCAAUCCAGCAUGCAUGCAAUCCUACCUUCGUUAAUCCCGAAAUCUCUGUAUCUGACUUUCCUCAUAGUUAAAAACAUAUAAACUAAA